AUUAGAAUCUCAGUGUUCCUUCAUGCUUGUAGUACGUGGGACACUCAGUAAUGCCUGACACCAGGUCACCUCUGUUCUUCCCCCAAAUUACAAGGAAUGGAGGCUGGGAAACUACAUUUCUGAGACUCCUUCAUCAUCAGGAUGCCAGAUAAUAUUUUAAAAGCUGACUCCACCAGAGACCCAAUUCUUGAACUUUUAAUGCACAUUUGGAAAUCCAUUGUGUUUAGUUGGCUUAGAUUAUAAACUGCAGGAGAACAAGAAGUGUAUCAAUUAUGUUCCAGUUUCUGGGAUGUACUCUUCUAGUGGAUCCACAAGCAAAAGGGAAGAGAGGCUAUUCCAUAUACUUACUAGAAUAUAUGAGUUUUACAAAUUGGAAUGAUAGGCAUUGAUAUUGACACAUCUGAAGAAGGAGUGAUCAAAGAGAAGUGGCCCUGGAGCUCUCCCCAUGAAAAGAUUAAAUUUUUAAGAAGAUGCUGCUCACCUAAAACUUAUCAAUAAAGUCAACUAUAGUUUCAAAUUGGCAAAUCAU